rnacentral:rRNA from 1 species
UGCGUAGGUGGUGAGGUAAGUCGGAUAUGAAAUCUCCGAGCUCAACUCGGAAAUGGCAUUGGAAACUACCUUGCUAGAGGGUUGGGAGGGGGACUGGAAUACUUGGUGUAGCAGUGAAAUGCGUAGAUAUCAAGUGGAACACCAGUGGCGAAGGCGAGUCCCUGGACAACUCCUGACACUGAGGCACGAAAGCUGGGAGCAAACA